rnacentral:rRNA from 1 species
AUUGAACGCUGGCGGCAGGCCUAACACAUGCAAGUCGAGCGGUAGAGAGGUGCUUGCACCUCUUGAGAGCGGCGGACGGGUGAGUAAUGCCUAGGAAUCUGCCUGGUAGUGGGGGAUAACGUUCGGAAACGGACGCUAAUACCGCAUACGUCCUACGGGAGAAAGCAGGGGACCUUCGGGCCUUGCGCUAUCAGAUGAGCCUAGGUCGGAUUAGCUAGUUGGUGAGGUAAUGGCGCACCAAGGAGACGAUCCGUAACUGGUCUGAGAGGAUGAUCAGUCACACUGGAACUGAGACACGGUCCAGACUCCUACGGGAGGCAGCAGUGGGGAAUAUUGGACAAUGGGCGAAAGCCUGAUCCAGCCAUGCCGCGUGUGUGAAGAAGGUCUUCGGAUUGUAAAGCACUUUAAGUUGGGAGGAAGGGUACUUACCUAAUACGUGAGUAUUUUGACGUUACCGACAGAAUAAGCACCGGCUAACUCUGUGCCAGCAGCCGCAGUAACAC